rnacentral:rRNA from 1 species
AGAGUUUGAUCCUGGCUCAGAUUGAACGCUGGCGGCAUGCCUUACACAUGCAAGUCGAACGGCAGCGCGGGGGUAACCCUGGCGGCGAGUGGCGAACGGGUGAGUAAUAUAUCGGAACGUGCCCUAGAGUGGGGGAUAACGUAGCGAAAGUUACGCUAAUACCGCAUACGAUCUACGGAUGAAAGUGGGGGAUCGCAAGA